GUCGGGAUAGCUCAGCUGGUAGAGCAGAGGACUGAAAAUCCUCGUGU
rnacentral:tRNA from 28 species